rnacentral:rRNA from 1 species
CUGCUGCCUUCCGUAGGAGUCUGGGCCAUGUCUCAGUCCCAAUGUGGCCGUCCACCCUCUCAGGCCGGCUACUGAUCGUCGGGCUUGGUGGGCCGUUACCCCACCAACUACCUAAUCAGACGCGGGUCCAUCUUACACCACCUCAGUUUUUACCACUGUACCAUGCAGUACUGUGGUCUUAUGCGGUAUUAGCAGUCAUUUCUAACUGUUAUCCCCCUGUGUAAGGCAGGUUACCCACGCGUUACUCACCCGUCCGCCG